AGCUUUCUGAAUCUGUGUAGAAAUUUAAUCAGACACCAACCCAUUAGGGGUGAUCAGACUUCCAAGAUAAGUAAAGUU
rnacentral:pre_miRNA from 1 species